CUUUUCAGGUUUUCGACUUGCCGGGUGUACAUUUUUAUAUGUUUAUCCCUAAUUUUUGCCCGAACCCUUUUGGUUCGUCGGGAUGCCCUUACUUUUGCCUAGGUACGUCGACCUAGCGGGUCUCUUUUAUGCGUAGUAUUUUUUGACUAUGUCUGCGUUCACGGGAUGUGGGAAGUCUUCGCCGUCCAUCGUAGCAAGUAUCAUGGCUCCACCAGAGAAUACCUUCUUAACUACAAAUGGCCCUUCGUAUGUGGGAGUCCAU
rnacentral:lncRNA from 1 species